AUUUCGGCUAGAAUAAUAAAUAACGAUAAGGAGAGUGGAAAAGGAAACGCUCCAAACAUGAGUAACUGAAAUCGUCUCCUAUGCUAUGCGUUGCCAUGGUGGUUCUUGCAAGCUCUGCAACUUUCUCCGCCUCUCUUCACACUCGGCUUUCUAACGGAAGCCCUCGUUUUCUUCUCAGCUCCACUAAUUUUCAGGUUUUGCAAUGGAAAUCGAAAUCCCUAACUGUACGAGCUCUAGAAGCUCGAUUAUGGCGUCCUUUGAAUUGCAGGAGUAGAAAUUGCAGUGACUAUGAAGCAUUCGCUCCUAGACAGGAGCUCUUGUUGCUUCAUCCGAUACGGAUUAUCCGGAAAUGCCUCUCGUCUCGCCGAAGCCGACAAGGAGUAAUGAACUGUGCCGAAAAUUUUAGAAACCAUGCGUCCAUUCUUUUUGUCCGGUUGGUUGUUACGGUACUGCUUGUUACCUCAGUUUCGUUUGCCGCCAGCAAUUCGCCCUCUCGGGCGCUCAGUGAAGAGAAUCUUCUAUUCCUCGAGGCGUGGAGAACGAUUGAUCGUGCUUAUGUUGAUAAAACUUUUAAUGGACAGAGUUGGUUUAGGUAUAGAGAAAAUGCUUUGCGGAAUGAACCAAUGAACACGAGAGAAGAGACGUACAUGGCUAUAAGGAAGAUGCUUGCAUCAUUGGAUGAUCCUUUCACUCGGUUUCUAGAGCCUGAAAAGUUUAAGAGUUUGCGGUCUGGAACACAAGGUGCUCUUACUGGUGUAGGGCUUUCAAUAGGCUAUCCUACAGGUUCUGAUGGAUCACCUGCUGGACUUGUUGUUAUUUCAGCAGCUCCAGGAGGUCCUGCUAGUAGGGCUGGAAUUCUAUCUGGGGAUGUUAUUUUGGCAAUAGAUGAUACAAGUACAGAAAGUAUGGGCAUAUAUGAUGCAGCAGACCGGUUGCAGGGGCCUGAAGGAAGUUCAGUGGAAUUGACUGUUCGCAGUGGACCUGAAGUAAAGCAUCUUGCUUUGAUGUAAGAUUGCUGCUUUAUUAUCUCUUAUUUAAUGCUUGUGAACCUUUUUUGUUGGUAGAAAUUUGGUUCCUCUAAUAAUUUCUACCGAGGUUCUUCAUUAUGCUUUGCUGUUGUAAAUUGGGCUACAAUGGGACUAUUCAUAUCACCAUUAUAUUCUGGUGCAUUUUAAACUAACCAACUGCUGCUUCCAGUCGAGAAAGGGUAUCUCUAAAUCCAGUGAAGUCAAGACUCUGUGAAAUUCCUGGCUCAGGAAAGGAUUCUCCUAGGAUUGGGUAUAUUAAACUAUCAUCAUUCAACCAAAAUGCUUCAGGUGGUUUGAGAUAGCUUCUUUUUUUUUUUUAAUAAUUAUUAUAGAAUCAUUCCGGAAUUAUACUGAAAUGUUGCAGAUUACACACUCUUUCAUAUAAAUUUGCUGGUAAUAAACACAUGCACUGGGUAUCUGAAUCUUUUAGAGAAAGUUGAAUGUGUUUGGACAUAGAAAAUGUUUGAAAUAUGUAUAUAUCGUAAGUAUUGAUGUUUAUAUGUUUAAAUUGCAGACCAAUUACAUUUAGCAUGGGCUCAGCAUGAGUAUCUAUUAUGACUUGUUUUGUGUUGUGACUUAUAAAUUAACAGUGGUUAGAAUGAGCUGUUUCUGGAUAUGCAACUUUUGGGAAACUUGUAUUCUGAUUCUAUUGCCCCAUAAAAUUUUUAUUUGGUUCUUGGACUUCCAAUCUGACAUUUUAAACCUUGUAGUUUUGUUGUUCUUGCAAAGUUGACCUGUUGUCAAUUACUCUUACUCUGUUAGAAGUUAAUAUCUACAAGAGACUUAUAUGUUUAAAAACCAACAAGGAUGAUUGUAGGAAAAAUAUGCAGAAAAAUAAGCAAUUUUAGAAAACAAGUAAUUGUUAACUAGAUAUGUGUAUAUCACAUGCGUUAUGCUUUUACAUUUGGAGAAGAAACCUCCUAUUUUAUUCUCCUAUUCAUGCACUCUAUCCUAUCAGAUGUGCUUAGUUUAAUUUCGCUGUGCGAGUCUCAGAUAAAAACUAAAACAGUGAUGAAAUUAAAAGGUUGGAAUAGAUUUUUCUUAUUUUAUUCCUUACUGUUGUUGUGACAAUCACUUCAAGCCAUAGAAAUAAUGAACAUGCAUGCUGAGUGACCUUGUGUUGUGGAAUAGAAUCCAGUGUCUAGCAGACUCUCAUCCCUCCCUCAAACCCCCAUUUCUGUUUGCAUGUACUAGAUGUUGAAUUUACAAAAUUUGAUUCAUUCAACAUGCUCAUUGACAAUUAUUUCUUUUGUAGGUGCUGUCAGGGAAGCUGUUGGUGCUUUACGGAGUAAUAAUGUUAAUGCCUUUGUGUUAGACCUUCGAGACAAUAGGUGAUUAGCUUUCAAUAAUCUACAUUUUAAACUUGGCUGGCAGCUUGUCUGAAAGCUUAAAUUUGCUGCAGUGGUGGUCUAUUUCCAGAAGGAAUUGAGAUUACCAAGAUUUGGUUAGAAAAAGGAGUGAUUGUGUAUAUUUGUGAUAGCCGUGGCGUCCGAGACAUAUAUGAUGCGGAUGGAAGUGGUGCACUUGCAGCUUCAGAACCCUUAGCUGUGCUGGUAUGAAAUAUAUUGAAUUCUUAGAUUGCCAUAGCUUAGCAUCAUGGAAUUGAGAGAAUGCUUUGAGGCUUUACUCAGUCCGUGUGAUUCAGCAGUCACAAACUCUUUUCUCUCUUUCUCAAUUUCUGAUAAAUUAUGUAUUAAAGAAACUUACAUCUCUAAAUUUAUUCAUGCUUCUGCAAAUUGUACCCUUCCUUCUUACUGUUAUUCCAGGCAUAGUGCUAAUCAUUCCACUACCCAAAGUCCCAGAAAUUAUCAUUACAUUCUCUCCUAGGGUAUAUGCCUGGGCAUUGGACUUUAUUCGUAAAGAGUUUAUAUGUUAAAUACGUGCGUGGACUUCCACAUUUUGAUCAGCAAAUUUUUAUUCCAUUGACAUCUUUUUCUUCUGAGUUCCAAUCAAGGUAAAUAAGGGAACCGCAAGUGCAAGUGAAAUAUUAGCUGGUGCAUUGAAAGACAAUAAACGUGCUGUGUUGUAUGGAGAACCCACAUUUGGGAAAGGGUAUCUGCUUCUGCUUCUACGGCAUUUAUGAAUAAUAUUAUUUAUUUCUAAUGGGUGAAUUUAUCCCAUUAUGCAGCAAGAUUCAAUCAGUUUUUCAGCUAUCUGAUGGCUCUGGCUUAGCUGUUACAGUUGCUCGUUAUGAGACCCCUUCUCACACUAAUAUUGACAAGGUCUGUUGUGAUUCUGUGCAUCCGGCUCUGCUUGCAUGUCUGCCUCUCUCAUUACUUUUGUAUUUCUAUGAUGUAGGUUGGUAUUGUUCCUGACCAUCCACUACCCAAAUCAUUCCCCAAGGACGAGGAGAGCUUUUGUGGCUGUCUCCAAGACCCUGCUUCUGCUUGCUACAUUAACAGAGUCCAGCUCUUUGCUCGAUGACAGAUUCUUUUGUGUUUUUGACAUUUUCUUUUGUGGCUGUCUCCAA
rnacentral:misc_RNA from 1 species